AGUGAACGCUGGCGGCAGGCCUAACACAUGCAAGUCGAACGGCCGCACCGUAAGAGCUUGCUCUUACGGGUGGCGAGUGGCGGACGGGUGAGGAAUACAUCGGAUUCUACUUUUUCGUGGGUGAUAACGUAGAGAAACUUCUGCUAAUACCGCAUAUGUCGUACGUGUGAAAGCAGGGGAUCUUCGGACCUUGCGCGUUUGAUUGAGCCGAUGUCGGAUUAGCUAGUUGGCGGGGUAAGGGCCUACCAAGGCGACGAUCCGUAGCUGGUCUGAGCGGAUGAUCAGCCACACUGGAACUGAGACACGGUCCAGACUCCUACGGGAGGCAGCAGUGGGGAAUAUUACGCAAUGGGCGAAAGCCUGAUCGAGCCAAACCGCGUGAGUGAAGAAGGACUUCGGGUUGGAAAACCCUGUUGUUGGGAAAGAAAAAAAGUAGGUUAAUCCCGGACGGUACUGACGGUACCCAAAGAAUAAGCACCGGCUAACUUCGUG
rnacentral:rRNA from 1 species